rnacentral:rRNA from 1 species
CCGCCGCGGUAAUACGUAGGGACCGAGCGUUGUUCGAAAUUAUUGGGCGUAAAGGGUACGUAGGCGGUCUAAUAAGUCAGAUGUGAAAACCCUGGGCUCAGCCUGAGGCCUGCGUCUGAUACUGUUAGGCUAGAGUUACGGAGAGGAAGUCGGAAUUCCUGGUGUAGGGGUGAAAUCUAUAGAUAUCAGGAAGAACACCGGUAGCGAAGGCGGACUUCUGGACGUAAACUGACGCUGAUGUACGAAAGUUAGGGUAGCAAACAGGAUUAGAGACCCUGGUAGUCCUAACCGUAAACGUUGUAUACUAGGUGGUGGCGUUUUGAUCGCGUCACUGCCGUAGCUAACGCAUUAAGUAUACCGCCUGGGGAGUAUGCCGGCAACGGUGAAACUCAAAGGAAUUGACGGGGGCCCGCACAAGCAGUGGAGCAUGUUGUUUAAUUCGAUGAUACGCGAGGAACCUUACCAGGUCUUGACAUAUACCCGGAUGUUCCAGAGAUGGAUCAGUCCUUCGGGACGGGUAUACAGGUGCUGCAUGGUUGUCGUCAGCUCGUGCCGUGAGGUGUUGGGUUAAGUCCCGCAACGAGCGCAACCCUUAUUCUUUGUUGCUAACGCGUUAUGGCGAGCACUCUAAGGAGACUGCCGGUGACAAACCGGAGGAAGGUGGGGAUGACGUCAAAUCAUCACGGCCCUUAUGACCUGGGCUACAAACGUGCUACAAUGGGCGGUACAAAGAGUUGCGAGUCUGUGAAGAGGAGCUAAUCUCAAAAAACCGUCCUCAGUUCGGAUUGGAGUCUGAAACCCGACUCCAUGAAGUUGGAAUUGCUAGUAAUCGCAUAUCAGCCAUGAUGCGGUGAAUAUGUUCCCGGGCCUUGUACACACCGCCCGUCAAGGGCG